GGCAGUCAGUGGAGGUUGGGGACCACCUAGGAAAGAAUGGGGGAUAACAGACUCAAAGAAGAAUACCAAGAGUCUGAUCAAGGCGACAAAUUUUAUUUUUUCCCAAGGCUGAAUUUAUACCAUAGCAGGGGUAACAGAGGGAGGGGAAAAGUGGGAAACAUCUAUGCAGGCCAAGGACACAGUGCUCUUGUGGUCAGCUGAUGUCAACAGGAUGUUGGUUUCUCAGAAAGGUCACAGGGUAAAUGUUUGUUAGAGUUGAUGAAGCUCCUGCACCUGAUAAACAUCUGGAUAGGCUUUGCUCCGGCUCCCUGGAACUCUAUCUGCAGGACGCAAUGACUAGAGCAGUAUACAAUAAGGACUUGGACAAACAUCACAAGGGUUAUGGUCUCUAAACACUGAUGAAAUUAACUAAGAGGAAGAAUAUUCAUCCAAAAAAUGCUGUGGCUGUUGGUCAGCGGGCACUCCUGAGAAAGCAACUCAUUCUUCAAGAUGCUGUCUUCCUGGAAUGUGUCCAAUUCCAGCUCUCUUGCAGCUUCUGAGACCUGGGAGAGGAAGGCAGGUUCAAGUCCAGCAGGUAUUUCUGUAGAACUGCACAAUCAAGCUGUAUCACAUUGCUCUCCUGCUUCAAUGUGACCAACUUCUUCUUCAAGAGACUCUUCUCCAUCUGGAUUCGGCUGUGCAGGUUGCUGGAAACACACUCUGCAUGCACGUGUCUGCAGGAUGAUCAUCUGCCGCACAGAGGUGCCCGCCUGGAGAAUGGAGGCACAGAAUGUGUGAGGGUCUGAAUCCUGCCAGUGAUCCUGUGCAUGACUCCAGAACAUGCUCUCUAACAAUUCAGAUGAGACCUCAGCUCCUGUCCACGGCAUACAGCCCUAUAAACCCACUGCUUUAAAGCAGAGGCCUCUAGGUGAGCUGUAUACAAAUGUAUAUCUUAAGGGGACAAUUUUGGGCUGCUAAAUUCUGUAGUUAGUUUGCUG
ensembl:lncRNA